CAGCCGCCACGGGAAUACAGAGGGUGCGAGCGUUAAUUGGAUUUACUGGGCGUAAAGCGUGCGUAGGCGGCUUCUUAAGUCGGAUGUGAAAUCCCUGAGCUUAACUUAGGAAUUGCAUUCGAUACUGGGAAGCUAGAGUAUGGGAGAGGAUGGUAGAAUUCCAGGUGUAGCGGUGAAAUGCGUAGAGAUCUGGAGGAAUACCGAUGGCGAAGGCAGCCAUCUGGCCUAAUACUGACGCUGAGGUACGAAAGCAUGGGGAGCAAACAGGAUUAGAUACCCGCGUAGUCCCUGUCUCUUAUAC
rnacentral:rRNA from 1 species